rnacentral:tRNA from 1 species
GUUUCCGUAGCUCAAUUGGAUAGAGCGUCGGCCUCCGAAGCCGAAGGUUGGAGGUUCGAGCCCUCCCGGGAACA